UCAGAAGAUUAGAUACAUUUUACCAUAAAGUAGACUUGAAGAGUUAGAAGAGAGUCAGCCUAGAGACGAAUAGAAAGAAGUAUAAUAAAUAAAGCACAUUUGAGACUAACAUUAAAAAGAAACAGAAUGGUCUUGCAGUUUACUGAACAAAAAAUAACAAUCAUGUUUAAGUUUUGCUGGUUGUACUCUCACUCGGACUUACUGGAAUAUAAAAGUGGGCUGUUGCCCAUGAGCAAUUUUUUAGUGCAAGAAUCAAGCCAUUCAAUUCUUCACCAUGCUAAGCUCUUCUCAAAGCUAUAUAUACAAGAUGAUUAUCACUUAUUAAGUAAUUUGCUCUUCAUUCCCAGUGCUGCGCGGUGCCACACUGGGAACUGAAAUGAACUUGAAUUCGUGCACAGCUAUGCCAGGACACUGCAUCCAGUGAAGUCAAUGGCCAGGUUCUAAUGACAGCAUCAGGACCCUGCAUAUUCAUUCCUGCCUAGCUGUACAGUGAGCAAGAAACUAAGAGAGCAAAGUGCUCUUGCACUGCUGUAAUAGCUGGUGGGUGUCAAGGCCUUGGAUUGAGUUCUGUUGUUCUGUGUGUCAUUUGGGGGCUGAGGUUCUCGAGUGGGCUUGGCAGGGCAGAGCAGGAGAGGAGAUCCUUUGUCUAAGCACUGAAUUUCCCAGAUCUAGAAUGCACUUAUUCUGUCUCUGGGAUUUUUGCUGAAUCCUAUGAAAACUUGUGGCCUGCCCAAUGUCAGGGGACCACGCAGCAGGGUGAGACCUGGCAGAGGGUGGGUGAUCACAGCUCUGGGGUCGAGGGACGGGCAGCUCAGGAGCUUUGUUGGGUGUGAAUGUUCAUCUAAGAUGCUGGUUUGUGUGUUUCUAGGAUAUGGAUCCAUUGUGCAGAAGGAAGUUUGGGUAAUGUGCUGACUCCCAUUUCAUUCCCACAGCACAGGGAUGACCUCCCUACAUGAGACUGCUCUUCACUUGGUGCUGGCUGCUCCAGUGCUCUGCAGGAUGGGAUUUGUCAGGUGAUUUUUGACAUAGUAGGUGUCAGCAGCCUGGAUGUCUUAAAGUCAGUGUUUUUUUCUGCAUCCAUGAGAGAAAUGGGCCGAGUCAUCCUAGGCCAAGGAAUAUCUUGGGAGAUCAACUGCUCAGCAAUCCAGAAAAGUAGGAGCUGGAAUGCCUGGAGCACCAAGUCGGUCUUGCAGCCCUGGAGAAGCAGAGGAAAGUUAGAUUAUGUUGCAGAUGCUCUGUGAGUGAGGGAGAGAAAAUUUUCAAAUCUCAAUGGCAGGUGAGAGAGAAGGUCCUUAUGAGUGGGAACAGGGGCUAACUGGAGAUUAAACUUCUGGGGAGCUGCACUCUUCUGUUCCAGGAGGAAUUUGACAUCAAUCAGUAAAGCCUUAAUGCCUGGGUGAACCUAUGACAUUUUGCAGAGGGGAGAAGGAGAAUUUUGAAGCCAACUUUGAACUGCAGUUUGUUGCUGAGUGCACCUGUGUCUCCCAGGAAUGGCCUGAGGCUGAGCGUGCGGUUCUGGCUGUCUUCCUUUGAGGUUACUAUUCCCACACAGGUGCCAGUAAAUCUGCAGGUGUCCCUGCUCCCUAACUUAGUUCGGCCACCUUGUUCCAGAUUAAAAUCUAUUCUGAUAAAAAUGUCUGAACAGGUUCAACAGACACAUAAGCAAGUCUGGAUCAUUUUGACAGG